rnacentral:rRNA from 1 species
UACAGAGGGGGCGAGCGUUGUUCGGAAUUACUGGGCGUAAAGGGCGCGUAGGCGGCCUGCUAAGUCGAACGUGAAAUCCCUGGGCUCAACCCAGGAACUGCGUCCGAUACUGGUUGGCUUGAAUCCGGGAGAGGGAUGUGGAAUUCCAGGUGUAGCGGUGAAAUGCGUAGAUAUCAAGAGGAACACCUGAGGUGAAGACGGGUUGCUGGGCCAACACUGACGCUGAGGCGCGAAAGCCAGGGGAGCAAACGGG